UCUAGGGAGUCCCUUGAUGGGACCCUCAUGGCACGGCGUCGUCGCCGGCCUUCUGCCUCUGCACCUCGGUGCCGCGCAGAAGGAAUCGAUGCGAUCGACCUCCGACCAUGGGGCCUAGUACGUCGACCGAACCUGGCCGGGCCAGCCGGCGCCCUCGUGUGAGGACGCCCACCACGCUUUCGCGUGGUGCCGCACAUCGCGGAGCUCGAGCCCGAGCAUGCUGUUGAGUUUUGAGAGACCGCAUCCGCGGAGUCCCCGCGGGCGCACCUCUCGGCGGCCCUUGAAAACUGCACAGCAGCCACAUGCCUGAUCUGAUCCAACGCAGAUCAGGCUAAGUCCUUCCCCUUCAUCUUCGAUGAGCCAGGGGGAAGGGCGGGUAAUUCACCGAGUCAGAACCACUUGCAAUCAGGUUCUGCCUCGUAUUGACGAUCACCGUCAAGAUAGUAAGGGCACACGGUGGAUGCCUUGGCACCUAGAGCCGAUGAAGGACGUGGACGACUGCGAUAAGCCACGGUGAGGCGUUGAACAGCCUUUGACCCGUGGAUUUCCGAAUGGGGAAACCCGG
rnacentral:misc_RNA from 1 species